AUAAGCUGUCAACUGUCAAGUGUCAAAACUUUUUUUCCUGUUUAUCAACAAAUCCAUGUGAUAAUUUUGCUAUUAUUAUAUUUUUGUUUUAUAUAAAUAAAUAAUACAAUGCCUUUAAUGACACGAACAGAUGUUACUGCAGUUAAAUUUUUUGAUAAUUAUGUGUUGGCCGGAAUUGGAAGUCAAGUGAAUGUGUUUGAUAAGAACUCUGGCAGCUUUUUAUGUAAGAAGGAAGUCUUAACCGGCCAAAAAAUUUAUGGUUUUGUCAUUUCAAAAUGUAGGCAAAGAAUUCUGGUUUUUGGGGGGAAAAAGUUUACUGUGGUCAAAGUGAAGGUUGAGUGUGUGGAUACCAAUAUGAUAGAGAGGUGUUUCGAGCCUGUUGUGUGCAACGACUGGCUGCACUCAUGCUUGUGGAGUGGAGAGAAUAUAGCACUACUCACUGCACACAAUGUUGUUCAGAAAUGGGAUGUUAGCGCCCAAACCCUAGUCUCAGAACAUGUCAGUAAAGACAACUCUAUAUUGUAUAGUGGCCUGCUUGUACCGCUAUGUGAGGAUGUUCUUGUGAUGGCUGGCACUGUGUUCUCUGAGGUCAUCAUACAUAAAUGUGGAGAUAAGGUGCCUUUACAUCAGUUAACGGGACAUAAGGGUGUAAUAUUUUCCAUAUCCUGUGAACCAGACAAAAACUUAAUAGUAACAACGUCUGAUGACAGAUCAGUCAGAAUAUGGAGUCCAAAAACCAUACCAAUAUUACCAAGUAAUAGCAUAGACUAUUGGCAGAGCAUAGACAUAGUCUGUCAAUAUGAGCUUUAUGGGCAUCAGGCAAGGGUCAUGAGAAACUGCAUAACAAACAGUUAUAUAGUCUCAGUGGGUGAAGAUUCUGCUAUAUGCAUCUGGGAUUUUGAAGGAAAAUUGCUCAAAAAGAAUACAGCACAUCAAAAUGGUUGUAUAUGGGCUGUGGAUUAUUCUGAUAAUCUCUUAGUAACAGGAGGUGGUGAUAGUGGAGUUAUCUUGCAUCCACUGGCAACAAACAAAGAUUAUUGUGAGAGUCAAAUAAUCAAUAUAGAUGUUGGCAUGCCCAAAAGAGUUUUGUUAACUGCAAGGAGGAAUGUUGUCAUUCUUAAUGAUAAAGAUGACUUUAUAUAUUAUAUUGUUGAUAGUAAAAAGACUACAGCAUACAAACUCAAUCAUGAAUCUUCAUACAAAUUGCUAAGUCUGUCUUCUUGUAAACAAAUGGUUGCUGUUGCUGAUAUGAAUGGAAAGUUUGAUGUAUUUGCGGAAAGUUGUAAAAAUGAACCAGUACUUGUUAACUUAAUUGAUACAAAGUUACAUCUAGGCAAGAUAUUGUCUAUGCACUGGGCUGGAAACAGACAUCUAGUAUUGUGUUCAGAGGAUGGUAACAUUAAUGUUCUGGCUUAUAACAAUAAUACCGAACUUUAUGCUUGUUUUACACUACCAGCUUGCAAAGAAAGAUGGUUGACAUCUGCAGCAGUUGAUUCAAAAGCAAACAUAUUUGUUUUGGGUGACAGAUGUGGCAAUGUUAAUGUAUAUGUGAAAGGAAAACGAGACCCAAUUAAAACAUUUAUUAAAGUACAUGGCAGAUAUGGGCCUACAUCUAUUACUAUUAAAAAUAACCAUGUAGUGACCACAGGCAGGGAUGGUGCUAUCAAAUAUUUUCAUGUAGAUAGUAUUUCUAAUCAAUUCAAUUAUAUGAAUAGAAAAGAUCUGGAAUUUCCAUGGGUGGAAAAGUUCUUAGACAAAGAUGAUAACUUAAUCUGUGGAUUUCAAGAAAGAGUUUUUGUUGUGUAUAACAUGAGGGACAGUUGUAAAGUGUUGGAGGUGGCAUGCGGCGGCGGGCAUCGCUCGUGGGACGCACAGCGGUGCAUUAUUAAAACUAAAGAUAAAUUUGAACCAAUUAUCCAACUAGUUUAUGUCAAAAAUUCAGAUAUAAAUUUACAAACUUAUUUCUUAAAUAAACUUAUGUCAAGAAACUUAAUAAAAGGAUCUCAUAGCAAAGAAAUAAAUUGUUUGAAAGUUUAUAAAGACUCUCAGGAUAACACAAAACCUUUUUAUAUAUCGGGAGGAGAAGACACAACACUGAGAAUUUCAAAUGCUGAUAUUAGACAUGACAUGAAUAUUACAUUUAGAGAUGAAGUAGUGUUCAAACAUUUGUCUAGUGUUAGAACUUUAAAGUUAGUUCCUACUAUUCCUAAUGGUUUAUUAGUUAUAUCCGGUGGUGGACGCGCCCAAAUUAACAUAAAAAAUGUUAAAUUUAUUAAAAAUGCAGACGAAAUUGAAGUCGAUUCACAAGAACUUGUAGAAUAUCUAGUAAAAGGUACCGAUAAAGAACGAAAAGGUAAUCAAUCAUGGAAAAACUGCACAGUGGAUUUUGAUCCUGAGACUAGAAUUAUGGAUAUAGAUGUUAUCAAAGACAAUGAAGAUCUAUUUAUAUUUGCUGGAUGUUCUGAUGCAGUUUUGCGUAUAUUUUCAUUUAACAAUACAUUUAAAACAAUCACAGAAUCGAAGUAUCACAAAACCUGUAUAUUAAAAACGCAUUGUUUUCGAUUUUUGGAUAAAGAUAUCCUUGCUACAGCCACAACUAGAGGAAUUGUUGCUUUCUGGCUGAUCGAUGAUCUCCACUCAAAAGAUAAUUGGGAACCAUUUUUUAUAGUAAAAACACGAGAAUCUGGUGUAAACAGUAUAGCAACAAAGGUUUUUGAUAACAAUAUACUACUUGCGACCGGAGGCGAUGACAACAGCAUACUACUGCAUUUUCUGAAACCUAACCAGGGAGAGUUGACCUCUUUAGCAAUUGAAAGCACUUGGUCUUCAUCCAAUUACCAUAGUUCUCAGAUUACUGGUAUACUUAUCGUAGAAGACUUGCUUUUAUCCACGUCCAUAGAUCAGAGGAUCACACUGUUUAAAUGGAAUAUUGAGAAUGGUAUAGAUUGUGAAUACAAAACCCAGAUGUAUAGCAAUGUAGCUGAUAUACAGGGAAUGGAUGUUCUGGAUGUUUCGAGCGAUUCGAUAAAAGUAUGCGUGUUCGGUAAAGGGCUGGAGGUGGUCAGCAUACCGAAACAUUCAAACUGACCGCACGAUCUCAAUAUGAAAUUAAUUUACAAAACUUCAACAAGAAUUAAUAUGGUACAUUUAAAUAACUCUUCAGUGAAACAGAAUAUAACACAAUCGUUAUUAUAAUUAUUUGGUGAUGUCGCCCCAGGUGGAAGCGGUGACGAAGCCGGUGUGGCUCGGCGAGGGCCCGCACUGGGACAGCGAGGAG
rnacentral:misc_RNA from 1 species